rnacentral:tmRNA from 1 species
GGGGUUGUUUGGUUUUGACAGCGAGAGAUGUGGUACGUAAGCAUGCAGUGCGUGGUAGGUUGGCACUCUAAUCCCAGUCUUCAAACAAUUAUCUGGCAACGAAUCUUAUGCUCUCGCUGCUUAAUCGAAGUACAGUAGAUUAGCUUUAUUUCCGCCACAGUGGUGGAAACGAGACAUCGCCCAAAAGCUCUUGUUCCGAAGCGUUUGAGAAGGCGGUGCAGCAAAAUCGGGAAUAGUUCCGGCUUCGUCCCGCAGUUGGAAUGAGAUACAGGGACUAAGGUGUAAGUGGGUGGCUCUGGUCUUGCUUGCACACGAAAACCGAAGGCAGAGAUAAGCAUGUAGAAAGCGUAUGGCUUCCUUGUUUGGACGAGGGUUCGACUCCCUCCAGCUCCACA